UACGGGGGGGGCAAGCGUUGUUCGGAAUUACUGGGCGUAAAGGGUUCGUAGGUGGCCUGCUAAGUCAAACGUGAAAUCCCUCAGCUUAACUGGGGAACUGCGUCUGAGACUGGUGGGCUUGAGUGCAGGAGAGGAACGCGGAAUUCCAGGUGUAGCGGUGAAAUGCGUAGAUAUCUGGAAGAGCACCAGUGGCGAAGGCGCUCUACUGGGCCGUAACUGACACUGAGGGACGAAAGCUAGGGGAGCGAAUGGG
rnacentral:rRNA from 1 species